rnacentral:lncRNA from 1 species
AUCUUGGGAGAUAUCCUUCAAAUCACAAGGGAGAUUACAGAUGAACACAUUUACGGGUUUUGCUCUCAAGAGUAGAUUUUACUGAGUGCAAAGCAGGAGGCUGCCACAACUGUAAAGGUAUUACCUGUGCCUUUCAAAGCUACACAGGUGUCCCUUGGUAUUUAUUUUAUUGAAAAAAAAAUGUGCUAGAGUAUUCAGAUGAGUGUCAGAAAAAUAAUUUGUAGAGAGUCAUGUUUAUGAAUUGUUCAGUGAUAGAGUAAUAUAUUUUUAAAAUGUUACAAGUAUGCCUAAAAAGUCUUCUCUGUAAAAGUAAAAUUUAUUCAUAUUAUCAUAAAACAACUAUUUAUUUUUAGCCCAAUAUGUGCAAAGCAAUGUAUUAGAGCCAAAGAAUAAAAUUAUCAAAUCUGUUUUUUUAACUGCAUCAAAUAUAUCAAGUAUAUACAUAUCUGUAUAUGUAUUAGCUAGAGAUUUUUUUUUUUAACCACGGGGGAAAAACAAACAAACAAACAAAAACAGCAUAGCAUCUAGUCUCACGACUUUAGGUGGUCAUAGUUCCCAAAUUCAUAUUCACAGGCCAGGCAUUGGCGCUGAAAUCGAGAUAGUCUACUUGGCAUUUCCACUCAAAUAUCUAAUGGGGAUCACAAACCCAAUGUUUCUAAAAUAAACUGUGAUUUUAUCAACUAAAACUUGCUCUUCUUCCCUGCCUUUAUAUUCCAGUAAAUGCUUCUAUGUGUUUAUUUCAUUUCUUGCCCCUCAUAUUCUACAACCAACAGUUAGAUAACCCUAGCUACCUCGCACAUACAUCUUUUUUUUUUUUUUUUUUGAGACUGAGUCUCACUCUGUCACCCAGGCUGGAAUGCAGUGGUGCCAAUUUCGGCUCACUGCAACCUCCACCUCCCAGGUUCAAGCGAUUCUCCAGCCUAAGCCUCCUGAGUAGCUGGGACUACAGGCUCGCCACAAUAUCUGGCUAAUUUUUGUGGAGAGUCAUGGCUACAUGCUACAGGAGGGCCACCAUAUCCGGCUAAUUUUAGUAGAGACAGGGUUUCACCAUCUUGGCCAGGCUGGUCUCAAACUCCUGACCUCAUGAUCCACCCGCCUGGGCCUCCCAAAGUGCUGGGAUUACAGGUGUAACCCCAGCCUCUCUCACAUACAUCUCUAAUUUAUCCAUGUAUUUCCUUCUCCACUGCUUCCAUCUGACCAAAAACAUCAUCUUUUACUUGGACUAUUGUAAUUUCCUUACUGAUCUCUUAUUUUCCAUCCUUGCAUCUACCUCUCAAAAUAUUUUAAACUCACAGAAGAGCCACGAUGAUCUUAUUAAAAUGUAUAUUUUUUAAAAAGGUCAAAAUAUAAACCAAAUCAUGUCACUGUGUUAAAUCCUUCAGUGGUUUCUAAUUGCAUAUUGAACAAAAUUCAAAUAUUUUAUUGUGAGUGCAAAUACCUGGAUUACCUGUUAUCUUCCCAUUUCUUUUACUGCAGCUCCUUUUCCUCUCCCCCAAAGCACUGAUAGCUAAUUCUAGUGAAUUUUCUUUGACUAUGCCAUCACUUGUAAAGCCUUUGUACUUAUUCCUUUAAAUUCCUCUCCCAGCACAUGUGUCCGAUAAUGGCCCUCCUUGGUUAUUUGUUAUAGAAUUUACACCAAUCUGUAAUUAUCUCCUUUAUUAUUUCUUUAUUUCUCCUAUGUCUUUUUAUUAGAUUGCAGGAUCCAGGAAGGCAGGAACCUGGCUGCCUUUAUUACUACUGGAAGCACAUAGAAUAGGACCAGACAAAAACGACAAAGUGAGAAGAUGGCUGCCUGCAAGCCAGGAAGAGGGUCCUCACCAGGAAACAAAUUUUGGAGUUGAACAAGCCUCCAGAAUUGGACUUCAGCUUCUGUACUGAAUCCGAGGACCUCAACCUCUGUACUGAAUCAACCUCUGUACCGAAUCUACUUAUGCUUGCAGUUAUUUUUGCAGGGCACAGUGGCUCACACCUGUAAUCUCAGCACUUUGGGAGGCCGAGGUGGGCGGAUCACGAGUUCAGGAGUUGGAGACCAGCCUGACCAACAUGGUGAAAACCCGUCUCUACUAAAAAUACAAAAAUUAGCUGUGCGUGGUGGCGCACACCUAGAGUCCCAGCUACUCAGGAGGCUGAGGCAGGAGAAUUGCUUGAACCACAGAGGCGGAGGUUGCAGUGAGCAGAGAUCACGCCAUUGCACUCCAGCCUGGGAGACAGAGCAAGACUCUGUCAAAAAAAAAAAAAAAGUUAUUUUUGUAAAGUAAACAGUUGUUUUAUACAAAAUUUAUUCAUAACCUAUUACAUUUUGCAAAUAAGUAGCUUAUGCACAUUCUUAAGUUAUAACAUCAAUACUAAAUAAUUAAGAAUGAGUAGCUAAGGAAAUUGGAAUAAAUUUCCUUAGAAAGUAGAACAUAUUUUUAAAGGUAAUGUAUGACAGAAUUCUUUGUAUAUGUCAGGAUUCUCUUAAUUGUUACCAGAAAAGCAGCUCAAGCUAAGUUAUUUAUAAAUGAGAGUUGCUAUAGAACACCAAGGUAGCUCAGAAUAAAGAAGCCAUCAUUAUGAAACAUGAAGAUGAGAGCAACUCUGAAAUCAUCAGUUACUGGAUCGAGAGACAGGAACAGUUUUAAGAUUAUCUACAUUCAUAUUUUUUCUUCUUCAUUAAAAAAAAUUAUUCUUAAUUGACAAAUAAUAAUUGUAUAUUGUUAUGGGGUAAAAUGUGAUUUUUGUUCUAUGUAUUCAUUGUAGAAGUUUAAUCAAGCUAAUUAAUAUCCUAUCACCUAAUUUGUCAUUUUUUGUGUUGAGAAUAUUAAAAAUUUAUACUUUCAGUAAUUUUGAAACAUACAAUAUAUUAUAAUUAACUGUGGUCACUGUGUGGUGCAAUAUAUCACUCAAACUUAUUCCUCUAGUCUAACUGAGACUUUGAACAUUUUGAAAACAUUUUCUCUUUCCCCAUCCCUCCUUCUUCCCUGACCAGCCUCUGGUAACCACCCUUCUAUUCUGUUUUUAUGAGAUUGACUUUCUUAGAUGACACAUGUAAAUGAAAUCAUACAGUAUUUUUCUUUCUGUACCUGGCUUAUUUAAUUUAGCAUAACAUCCUCCAGUUCCAUCCAUGUUGUUACAAAUGAUGGCAUUUCCUUCUGUUUUAAGUUUGUAUAAUACUCCAUUGUGUAUACAUAUCACAUUUUCUUUAUUUAUUCAUCUAUUGAUGGAUACUUAGGACACUUCCAUAUCUUGGCUACUGUAAACAAUGCUGAAAUAAAUAUAAGAAUGCAGAUAUCUAUUCAACAUACUAAUUUCAGUUCCUUUCACUGUAUACUCAGAGAUGGGAUUGCUGGGUCAUAUGGUAAUCCUAUUUUUAGUUUUCUGAGAAAUCUCCAUAAUACCAAAAUAGCUGUACUAAGUUACAUUUCCACCAACAGUGUACAAGAGUUCCCUAUUUUCCACAUCCUUGCCAACACUUGUUAUCAUUUGUCAUUUUUCUAAUAGAAAUUCUAACAGAUGUGAGUUGGUAUCUCAUUGUGGUUUUAAUUUACAUUUCCCUGAAUAUUAGAGAUAUUGAGCAUUUUCUCAUACAGCUGUUGGCCAUAUCUCUAUUUUUUGAGAUGUCUGUUCAGUUCCUUUGCCAACUUUUUAGUUGGGUUAUUUGUUUCUUUCCUGUUGAGUUGUUUGAGUUCCUUAUAUAUUUUAGAUAUUAGCCCCUUGUUAAAUGUAUGCUUUGUAAAUAUUUUCUCCCAAUUUGCGGUUGUCUCUUUAUUCUCUUUUCUUGAUUUUUUUUCCUAUGGCUAUAGUGAUUUCCAUGUAAUAGGGGAAUGGUUUUAGUUGGCCAAGAGUUUACAAACUCAUAAACAAACAACUAGAAAGCAAAGGUAAUUUCCUUACAGGACAAAUUAAAACAAAAUUAGAGAAAGACUCUGGCUCAGGUUGUGUCAUACAGCCAGCCAUAAAUCCAUCACUGUGGCUGUGGGGGUAAAAUGCUAAUAUUAGCUACUUUGAGUCAGAUAUUUCAGUAAUUUCCCCUGGUGUCACAUGACCUAUCCCCACAUCCCAUUCCCUUGCCAGCUCUGAUUUCAGCUGCAGCAACAUUAGACAAUGCUUUGAAAGUUCAGACUUAUUCUGGAACUAUUUCACCUCAACCUAAAUCCAGCUGUUAUUCUGCUUUCAUUCUCAGGGCCUUCAUGAAGCCAUAAGAGCCCAUGUACUUAAGAAGCCUGGUAAGAUAGGGAAGUCAAUGUUCCAGAGAGCAAUCCUCCAUCAGUGGACAAUGGGAACUGGGGAAGGGGAGCUUUUGAUAAUUCUGAGAAGCCCUAGUUUCCACAGUGGUAACCAGAUUAAUAAUGCACCUCUAUGUUGAUCUUUCCCUGUAUCAUUCUUGCCAUUCCCUCAUUCUGGCUUCAUGAUAAUGUCCCAAAUAAACUAUCCUUUCCCAGUUCUUAUCUCAGGCUCUGCUUUCAAGGGAACUCAAACUAAGAUGCCAUCACUUUAUCAAUUAUUUUAUCCAGGAAAUUUGUUUUCUCUUAUUUUUUCUUCUAAUCAAUUAUUUUAAUUUUUUUAAAAAUGCUGGUCCCCCUUUAUUCACCAACUUUAAAUUUUGGUAUGGUUUCCACAUCUUCUCUAUCUAUGCUGUCUGAAUAAAUUAUAUGCACUCUCAUGUCUUUACAAAUCAUCUGUAAAUUUGGUGAUUACAAAUUUAUAUUUCCAAUUGAGACUUAUUCCUUGUAUUAGACUUUUUACCCAAAUGACUACUAAAAUUGCUUGACAGUCUAUUAGGCAUCUUAGAAUUAGCAUGUCCAAAGAAAAACUCUCAAUACUCGUUCCAAACGUGCUCUUUUCACAGUCUCCCCAACUCAAUACAUGCCAACUCCAUUAUACCAGUUAUUCAGGCUCCAAAGCUGGUGUGGUCCUUGAAACAUCUUUCUUUCACUUUCUACAUUGAAUCAAUCACCAAAUUUCAAAAUAUACCUAAGAUUCAAUUACAUCUUACCACCUUUACUUCUAGCAGCUUGGAGAAUUUCAGUAGUAUCUUAAGUGAUCUCCAUUCUCCACCAUUGCACUUCUAAAGACUCUUCUCCAAACAGCACUGAGAAUGAUCCUUAGAAACAUACAUCAAAUGUUAACAUUCUAUCAUUCAACACGUUCCAACAGUUUACUAUAGCAUUCAGAGGAAAAGCUAAAGUCUUCAUAAAAUUAUACAUAAUCUGAAAGUUUUUCUUCUAUUACUGUCACCUACUUCACUUCAUUCUAGCCACAUUGACUUCUUUGCUUUACUUGAAUAAGCCAAGCAUAUUUUCCCAAAAAUCCCCACAGUUCAAACCUUUUCUUCCUAUAGGUUCCUACUCAUGUCACCUAAUCAGAGAGGACUUUCAUGAAUACCAUGUAUAAAAUAUUCCUUUAAUACGUCUCUCCAUAUUCCUUUCACCUCUUUAGUAAAUGUCAUUGUACAUAAUACCAGUUGAAAAAUACAUUUUUUCUUUGUUUGUUGUCUUUCUUUCCUCUCUAGAUUUUAAGCUUUAUGAGGGGAAGGAAUUUUCCACUUUUUUUACCUCUAUAGUUACAACACCUCCAAGAGAGCUUGACAUGUAGUAGGCUCUCUACUUAUAUUUGAUGAGUGAAUGGAAGAAGAUGGAUGAAAGAAGAUAGUUCUAGUUCAGUUCAUGUGACUGAAUCAGUAAGUCAGAAGGGAGGAAAGGAAGUACUACUAAAUGAAACCUGAAACAUGAGUAAUUUGGGUAAUUAUUGGUAACCAAUGGGAGCAGAAUGGUGCCUUCCCCAUCCCCACUGGAAUACAAUAUAGCCCUUUACUGUUACUGGAAUUGAGUUACAAAUGUGAAUCUAUGUUUUUCAGGGACAAACACACACACACACAAUUAACAACAUCAGGGGGAUAAAAUAUAUGAGAGCUUUGUGAAAAGCACAACAAAUUUUGGUUUAAACAUGGAGAAAAUGUUUUUCUUUAGGCCUCAAAAAAGAGGAUAUUAUGUAAAAAACAGCCUCAAAAAUACAAUUACAGUAAAUAUAGCAAUAUCACUUUUUAUUUAUUAUGCCUAUGGUUUUAUAUGUAACAAGAAUGCAAUGUUUUCAAGAUACUUUAUUUUUUAUAGUUUUUGAUGUUUUUUAAAAAAAUGUAUUCUUGAUAAUUCAUCUGAAUUGAAAAUUGAUCAUUUGAUAGACAAAUAUUACAGAGGAAACCCAGUGGUUAAUGACAAUUGAAUGUACUACAGAAUCUAUUAUAACUUUCAAAAAUUGUAAUUUAAAAAUAAAUCUUCCUUUAUAAUAUCUUUAUAUUCCCCACAUCAAAAUGCUGCAAUCAACCCAUUGUAUCAUUAUGAAAACUGGAUUAAAAUCCAUCCAUCUUUUUUAUUACAAUUCUGAAGUGUUUCUCAAAUCAAGGAAAAUUUAAUAAAUCUUUUCAGGACUUAAUAAAAGAACAGAAGAUUUAUAUAUCUAAUAAAAAAUGCAUUCAGUUCCAAUGGUUUUAUUUAAUUUGUUUUCAUAUGUCUUCUUAUCACCUAUUAGAUAUCAUUUUGUUUCUCAAAAUCCAGAGUGGAAAUCACUUCUAAAAUAAUUUUUAUAGAAAAAAAUAUAGAUUACUCAGGUAUUCCAUAUGUCUGUCCUUUAAAAAAUGUGGAAGAUUUGAGAGUAGCUUGCACAAUCAGAGGACAUCAGGGGAGGGUCUAUUUGGCUAUUGAACUUCAGAUCAAUUUUGCGAUUUUAACACUGUUUUUUUCAUAACUCAUACAGAUUUCCUCUAGAGAGUUUCAGAGAAUGAAGAAGAGUUAAAAUUAAGCAUUUUGACAUGCAUUUGAAAUUCAUUUCUGUAGCUAAACUACAGAAUCCAAGCCUCCUCUUCUUUUUGUUUUCAAUAGCAAAGAGGCUACCUUACUGAUGAAUAUUUCAUAACAUGUCAAAUUGUGUUGUAAUCCUUCUUUUCUCAAGGAGAAAUAAGUGUAGGUCUCAUUUAAAAGCUCUUUUGAGUAUUUAUAGCUCAUCAAUUAAGAAUUAAGAGCAAUUAAAGAGGAAUCUGUAAGGUUAACAAUUUGCUGAUAAUUAGAAUAUGCCUAUUCCGAAUAUAAGAAUCUGAGGAUUUGAAUAAUGGGGGUGGCUUUGUCUCCUGAAGAUAAUAUUGGAUGAUGAUGGUAAUAUUAAUUUCCUUUAACAAAGUAUGCCCUUCCUUUGAGGACCAGAAGAGAAGUUUUAAAACUGAUAUGGAGCACAAAAUAAAUGAGAACUCAGCACUGGCAUAAGCUUUCUUAAGCCACAUGAGUACUUCAUUACAGCACUUACCAAGAGCACUAUGCGAUGACUACACCAGAGCAGACUAGAAACCUUUACUCUAGACCCUCUCUCAUUUAACUAAUUAUGUGACCUUGCACAAACUCCUUAACAGUUUGGAGUCUCAUUUUUUUAUUUUUAUAAAAUACCAGGAACUUUCAC